AAGUCGUAACAAGGUUUCCGUAGGUGAACCUGCGGAAGGAUCAUUAACAAAUCCUUAUGGAUUAAUCCAUAUCCACCUUUUGUGAAACGUACGCGUCUAUUCUGGGAGGUAAAGCUUGCGCAAACCUUUAUGGCUUGCCUGGCGCUUGGUCUCUUCAAACAAUGUGAUGUGCUCUUUGGGUGAUGGGUGCCAGCGAUAUGCUUGUCUCAUCACUGUGAUGCGCAAUAGCAAGUCACAGCACGCACAUUGGGGGCCGAGGCCUCCCAGAAGGUUUUAUUAACAAGUGUAUUUUUGUUUGACUGAAGCCAAUUUUGAAAUAAAAAUUAAAAACAACUUUUAACAACGGAUCUCUUGGCUCUC
rnacentral:misc_RNA from 1 species